UACGUAGGGUGCGAGCGUUAAUCGGAAUUACUGGGCGUAAAGCGUGCGCAGGCGGUUCGUUAAGUCAGCUGUGAAAGCCCCGGGCUCAACCUGGGAAUUGCGGUUGAAACUGGCGAACUAGAAUCUGGCAGAGGGGGGUGGAAUUCCACGUGUAGCAGUGAAAUGCGUAGAGAUGUGGAGGAACACCGAUGGCGAAGGCAGCCCCCUGGGCUGAGAUUGACGCUCAGGCACGAAAGCGUGGGGAGCAAACAGG
rnacentral:rRNA from 1 species